GACAGAGGGUGCAAACGUUGCUCGGAAUCACUGGGCGUAAAGGGCGCGUAGGCGGCCAGUGCAAGUCAGUUGUGAAAUCUCCGAGCUUAACUCGGAAAGGUCAACUGAUACUGCUCGGCUAGAGUGCGGAAGGGGCAACUGGAAUUCUUGGUGUAGCGGUGAAAUGCGUAGAUAUCAAGAGGAACACCUGCGGCGAAGGCGGGUUGCUGGGCCGACACUGACGCUGAGGCGCGAAAGCUAGGGGAGCGAACGGG
rnacentral:rRNA from 1 species